rnacentral:rRNA from 1 species
CAGUGGGGAAUAUUGGGCAAUGGGCGCAAGCCUGACCCAGCGACGCCGCGUGAGGGAUGAAGGCCUUCGGGUUGUAAACCUCUUUCAGUAGGGAAGAAGCGAAAGUGACGGUACCUACAGAAGAAGCACCGGCUAACUAUGUGCCAGCAGCCGCGGUAAUACAUAGGGUGCAAGCGUUGUCCGGAAUUAUUGGGCGUAAAGAGCUCGUAGGUCGUUUGACACGUCGAUUGUGAAAAUCUGAGGCUCAACCUCAGACCUGCAGUCGAUACGGUCAAACUAGAGUGUGGUAGGGGAGACUGGAAUUCCUGGUGUAGCGGUGGAAUGCGCAGAUAUCAGGAGGAACACCAAUGGCGAAGGCAGGUCUCUGGGCCAUAACUGACACUGAGGAGCGAAAGCGCGGGGAGCGAACAGGAUUAGAUACCCCAGUAGUC